rnacentral:rRNA from 1 species
AGAGUUUGAUCCUGGCUCAGAUUGAACGCUGGCGGCGUGCCUCAGACAUGCAAGUCGAACGAUUAAAGCUCUCUUCGGAGAGUGUAUAGAGUGGCGCACGGGUGAGUAACACGUAAGUAAUCUACCUUCGAGUGGGGAAUAACGUCCGGAAAUGGGCGCUAAUACUGCAUAAUGCAGCGGCAUCGUAAGGUGACAGUUGUUAAAGAUUUAUCGCUUGAAGAGGAGCUUGCGGCAGAUUAGCUAGUUGGUAAGGUAAUGGCUUACCAAGGCUACGAUCUGUAACCGGUCUUAGAGGACGGUCGGUCACACUGACACUGAAUAACGGGUCAGACUCCUACGGGAGGCAGCAGUCGGGAAUUUUGGGCAAUAGGCGAAAGCCUGACCCAGCAACGCCGCGUGAAGGAUGAAGUAUUUCGGUACGUAAACUUCGAAAGAAUAGGAAGAAUAAAUGACGGUACUAUUUAUAAGGUCCGGCUAACUACGUGCCAGCAGCCGCGGUAAU